rnacentral:lncRNA from 1 species
CUCAUCUUUACAGGUGUGAUUUUCACAAUUGUGAAUGUUUUACUCAAUUAUUACAAGGCAUCAACUAUAGCAGCGUGUAAAUGCUUCCCGAUCUUUUCAUUAUGCUGGGAUGCCGCAACCUAUAUUUAACCCAAGGGGAGGAAUGUGCUCCAGAAACAAUUCUCACUUAGGCAAUCAUUUCUCUUAUCAGUCACAGAGAUCUGUCAGACCACUCUCACUGCCAACCAGGGAUUACAAAGAGAGGAAAAAGGGCAACCGGGAGAAAACUGUAUCUCUGCAAAAAUACAGUAUGGAUCUGUGUCAAGAAAUGAAGGACCCGUAGACAUGGAGUAAACCAGCUCUGUGAGAUUAUCAGGCCCAGCAAGGAAGGAGUCAGAGGAAUUACAGAAAGGACUCGAUAGUGGAAGCAAAUGAAACAGGAAUAAGUUACAGAUGCUGGGGAAGAGAGUUCUAGGAGAUGUCUAGCACAUCCAGCUAACUCAAAUGAGCUGCACCAUCUUACUCAGAGGCCUGUACUUUUCAGUAGCAGACCAGAUAUUCAGGCUUUUCAUUCCCUCCCUGGCUCUGCCCCUAGCUCUGACACAAAUCAAAUCUACAAAAGCACAUUGUCCUUACCUCAACUGUGUGCCAGCCUGGACAUGUUCAAAUGAAAACCUGGGCUACGCUGUGAUCUUUGCUCUUGCUACCACGAUACGUGCAGUGAAGAGGGAGAUUGCCUCAGAUACAUCUGGAAUACAGCAAUUCAAAGCAACCCCCUCUCAUCUUUGAUUUGAAUUUGCUGUGCUUUCCAUCAUCGCCAAAGGGGAGCUCCUACCUCUGACACACAGGUAUGCACUCUCCUUCACCCCAGCCCUCGCUGCAUUGCAUCAGCAAGAACGGCAACAGCCCACGGCCUCAGAGCUAUCAGAGCAAAGGACACAGGCUACAGACAGUAGCCUGGCUCUGGAAGAUGUUGUUCCCAAACGCCUGUGUGGUGCAAGUGCUUUUGUGUUCAGCCGUAUGCAGUCAUUAUUACAACUUGCUUUUAAUCCAGUAGAAGGGAGAGCGGCAGUCAGGCACUCUCUCCCUUCCUCAGAUAGGCGUCUGCUGCAUGAGUUGGCUGAGCGCUGCAGCCUGCCCAUCUGGAACAUGGAUAAACUCCCCCAGCGACUGGAGGAGUGACUUCGCCCUUUACUUGGCGCAGUCCUCAAUUAAGCAUGCAGAUAAGCCUGAGUCAAGGCUUUGGUAUGAGCGGCGCUGCCAGGAGCUGCGUGCUCGGAAUGGAGGUUACAGCCCGUGCCGAGGUGAAGCGCCCGCAGCCAGCUGUGCCCUGCCUGCCUCCCC